rnacentral:rRNA from 1 species
UCAGCCACACUGGAACUGAGACACGGUCCAGACUCCUACGGGAGGCAGCAGUGGGGAAUAUUGCACAAUGGGCGCAAGCCUGAUGCAGCCAUGCCGCGUGUAUGAAGAAGGCCUUCGGGUUGUAAAGUACUUUCAGCAGUGAGGAAGGUGGUAGUGUUAAUAGCACUAUCAUUUGACGUUAGCUGCAGAAGAAGCACCGGCUAACUCCGUGCCAGCAGCCGCGGUAAUACGGAGGGUGCGAGCGUUAAUCGGAAUUACUGGGCGUAAAGCGCAUGCAGGUGGUUUGUUAAGUCAGAUGUGAAAGCCCGGGGCUCAACCUCGGAAUUGCAUUUGAAACUGGCAGACUAGAGUACUGUAGAGGGGGGUAGAAUUUCAGGUGUAGCGGUGAAAUGCGUAGAGAUCUGAAGGAAUACCGGUGGCGAAGGCGGCCCCCUGGACAGAUACUGACACUCAGAUGCGAAAGCGUGGGGAGCAAACAGGAUUAGAUACCCUGGUAGUCCACGCCGUAAACGAUGUCUACUUGGAGGUUGUGGCCUUGAGCCGUGGCUUUCGGAGCUAACGCGUUAAGUAGACCGCCUGGGGAGUACGGUCGCAAGAUUAAAACUCAAAUGAAUUGACGGGGGCCCGCACAAGCGGUGGAGCAUGUGGUUUAAUUCGAUGCAACGCGAAGAACCUUACCUACUCUUGACAUCCUCAGAAGAGACCGGAGACAGUYUUGUGCCUUCGGGAACUGAGAGACAGGUGCUGCAUGGCUGUCGUCAGCUCGUGUUGUGAAAUGUUGGGUUAAGUCCCGCAACGAGCGCAACCCUUAUCCUUGUUUGCCAGCGAGUAAUGUCGGGAACUCCAGGGAGACUGCCGGUGAUAAACCGGAGGAAGGUGGGGACGACGUCAAGUCAUCAUGGCCCUUACGAGUAGGGCUACACACGUGCUACAAUGGCGCAUACAGAGGGCGGCCAACUUGCGAAAGUGAGCGAAUCCCAAAAAGUGCGUCGUAGUCCGGAUUGGAGUCUGCAACUCGACUCCAUGAAGUCGGAAUCGCUAGUAAUCGUAGAUCAGAAUGCUACGGUGAAUACGUUCCCGGGCCUUGUACACACCGCCCGUCACACCAUGGGAGUGGGCUGCAAAAGAAGUGGGUAGUUUAACCUUCGGGGGGACGCUCACCACUUGU